CUUACCGGUAGUAUGAAGUCAGAGAAAGGAGGCUGGAUCCCAGUGUGCGUAAACCUGUUGGACUAAGAAGCCAAAGGAGAAUCAAGCUGCUGUCGUCAAAGUCGGAAACUUUUUUAAUACUUCAUCUCUAGAAUCAUUUUCCAGACCCAGUUUUUCUUCAACUUCAGUACAAGUCUCACCAAACAAAGAGUAUGGACUGGCGAUGGUACUGGAACAGAUUCAUGGAUUUAUACAGAUGGUUUUCAGGCUUAACCAGACCAGCAGUCGCUGAUGGUGGCGGUGUUGUUAGCAACAGGAAAAUUAAAGAUGUAAAGGCAAGAAACGCUGACUUAUCGAUAAGUACAGUGAGCAAUCCAGGUAAUAGUAAAACUGGAAAUGCUGCUGGUACAAAUGGAGCUGCAAGUGGUGGCGGUGUGAUCAGUACUGAUGAAAUAUCUAAUGUCAAACUUUCAGGGGAUUUGAAUAUGCCUAUAUCUGUGAAACGCUAAAAAGCAGAGUAGAGGAGACGAUGUCGUCCUCUCAGUAUGAAGCAAUAGACCAUCUCCUUCCCAUUCACUGCAAGUCUUCAUCACAUCCAGUGCCCAGGGUUUCUUCCACUCAACUCAUGGGAAUCGCCCAGAUCUUCAACUCUCUUCAUCUCAUCACCAUCAGCAUCACCACCAGUGUCUAAACAGAAAGAUCCUAGCUUCCUGACUCCGUCCCACACUCUCAACCUCCACCCUGAACCCAACCACUCCUUGAGCCUUACCCGAGCCAUUUACCACCAUCAACCUUGACCACAACAUUCCUUGUCAUUGUUACAUACAUAGAUCUGCUCUCAAGCUAUAGACCUGUCCUUGAAAAGUAUAUGUGCUUACCUGCUAUAGAGCCCUUUUAAUUCAAACAUGCACUGUGAACAUGUUUUAUUGAUCCAAACUUUUUUAUAUGUAUAGUUUCCCAUUUUUCUUGCUUUAACCUAUAGUGGAAACUCUAAAUAAAGCUUUUUUGGGUAACUCUAA